UACAGAGGUCUCAAGCGUUGUUCGGAUUCAUUGGGCGUAAAGGGUGCGUAGGCGGCGCGGUAAGUCGGGUGUGAAAUCUCGGAGCUUAACUCCGAAACUGCAUUCGAUACUGCCGUGCUUGAGGACUGGAGAGGAGACUGGAAUUUACGGUGUAGCGGUGAAAUGCGUAGAUAUCGUAAGGAAGACCAGUGGCGAAGGAC
rnacentral:rRNA from 1 species